rnacentral:snRNA from 1 species
AGCUUUGCGCAGUGGCAGCAUCGGAGCCACAGACGUUUAUCGGAGGUGCGAUUAUUGCUAAUUGAAACAAUCCGAAGUACAUAGUUUAAGGAAUAGUAAUAUACUACUGUGUAUUUCAUAGUUUUGACAAAU